rnacentral:rRNA from 1 species
UACGAAGGGGGCUAGCGUUGUUCGGAAUUACUGGGCGUAAAGCGCGCGCAGGCGGUCUUCCAAGUCAGUGGUGAAAGCCCUGGAGCUCAACUCCAGAACUGCCAUUGAAACUGUUAGACUUGAGUACGAGAGAGGUGAGUGGAAUUCCCAGUGUAGAGGUGAAAUUCGUAGAUAUUGGGAAGAACACCAGUGGCGAAGGCGGCUCACUGGCUCGUAACUGACGCUCAGGCGCG